rnacentral:rRNA from 1 species
AACGAACGCUGGCGGCAUGCCUAACACAUGCAAGUCGAACGAGACCUUCGGGUCUAGUGGCGCACGGGUGCGUAACGCGUGGGAACCUGCCCUUAGGUUCGGAAUAACUCCCCGAAAGGGGUGCUAAUACAGGAUAAUGUCUUCGGACCAAAGAUUUAUCGCCUUUGGAUGGGCCCGCGUUGGAUUAGCUAGUUGGUAGGGUAAAAGCCUAGCAAGGCGACGAUCCAUAGCUGGUCUGAGAGGAUGACCAGCCACACUGGGACUGAGACACGGCCCAGACUCCUACGGGAGGCAGCAGUGGGUAAUAUUGUGCGAUGGGCGAAAGCCUGAUCCAGCAAUGCCGCGUGAGAGAGGAAGGCCUUAGGGUUGUAAAGCUCUUUUACCCGGGAUGAUAAUGACAGUACCGGGAGAAUAAGCUCCGGCUAACUCCGUG